rnacentral:misc_RNA from 1 species
UUUCCGUAGGUGAACCUGCGGAAGGAUCAUUACAGAGUUCAUGCCCUCACGGGUAGAUCUCCCACCCUUGAAUAUUUAUACCUUAGUUGCUUUGGCAGGCGUGGAAACACCAUGGGCUCCGGCUUAUGCGUGCCUGCCAGAGGAAACAAACUCUGUUUUUAGUGAUGUCUGAGUACUAUAUAAUAGUUAAAACUUUCAACAACGGAUCUCUUGGUUCUG